UCUGGACAGAAGACUGAAUUCAGAAGAUUGAGCUGAAAUGGUUACAAUACCAUAUUGGCCAUUAGAGAGAAUAUUGCCCAGAGGGCCAGACUUGGAUUUUUGAAAGCCUUUAUGGAGCUGGAACACAACAACGCAAAGGCAAUGUCUUCACUACAAAAAAUAGGUGAGCUCUGCACCGCAAGUGGACCUCGACUAGCUACAGCAAGGGAUGCUGGCAGAGAAAGUACCACCUCUAUGGACUUCCUGGUGCAGGAGAAAGGCCUAUGAGCUGGUUAUAGCUGGAGGGAACAGAAGGGCCAAGUGGGGGGUGAUCAGGAGCAGCUCAAGGUGGUAGAAAGAGGAGGCACUCAUGUACUUCAUGCAUUCUCCUGCUAACAGAUCUCUGGUUCUCCAGCAGAGAGCCCUAUUUUGCCCAUGAUAGGAGGUGCACUGCUGUGGACUUCUCCUCAUGCAGCUCCUUGGAUUAUUUUUAAGGCAGGCACUAUUUCUGCACAGUUUUUGUGUGCAAACACUUGCAAAUCCCUUUUGUAUCACUUUCAAAUCAAAUAUUUAGCUUCAGCGCAUCAGUGGAAUUUCUGCCCGGGAUACAGCACAUGCACAGCAUAGUGAUGUUCUCUUUGUGAUUCACAGCCAGUAGUACGUAUCCUGACUGACAGGGCUGCACUCUGAUAAGCAGCCAUGAUUUCUUUAGGUACUGUAAAUAGAGGGGCUUUGUGAGAUGUCAGGUGUCUUCCUAGGAAGUAGAGAGUGAAGCCAGAAGCAAAGAUCAAAGGGAAUACAAAGAAGAAUGUCUAUCAAGAGUAGAACUAAUACUCUGAUUUUCUGCCCCUGUCCAGUGCUGAAGACUUUCGUGUUAUAGUGUCGGUAAAAUGAAAGCUGCCUAGGCAGUGUACUGAAAUCUAAUUACCAUCAUUGGCCUCUAGAAGGCUGAGUGUUUCAUGUCUCUAGAGCUACACAAAAGUUUGGAUCAAAAAGCUAUGGCCAGCUGUCUAGUAUAAUGUAAACAGUGUGAAACAGGCUCAUCCUGUGUCACUGUAAAAGGGCGGGGGGAAGGAUAAAUGGGACUGUGGCCAGUCGCACCAUGUAAGGCUCUGAGCUCAACUCUGUCCUUCACUCCUGAGGUGGGGAGAGACUCCUCCCAUUACAGAGGCUGUGGCCUCAGCCCCUGCUCCCCCGCAGGGGGAAGGAUACACUCAUGCCGUUGUUGAGUGGCCCUACCCCAGAGAUGUCUGCAGCCUGCUUGCUUUUUCUGGAGCCGAAGGUCACUGCAACGGUCAGAUUUGAUGAGCUCCAGUGGGAAAUGGGAAGAAAAAAUGAGGGGAAACCCAAAAGAAUCUCAUAGAAAAGAAGGGGCAGUUUGGUGACCAGAGACCACAUUCAAAAAUAGAAAUACUCAAGUACACCUCUACCUCGAUAUAACGCAACCUGAUAUAACACGAAUUCGGAUAUAAUGCGAUAAAGUAGUGCUCCGGGGGGGCGGGGCUGUGCACUCCAGUGGAUCAAAGCAAGUUCAAUAUAACACGGUUUCACCUAUAACACAGUAAGAUUUUUUGGCUCCCGAGGACAGCGUUAUAUCGGGGUAGAGGUGUAUUAGUGCCUGAAUUACCUGAGUGAAAUUCAGCAUUCUAGCCAUCUGCUGCUAAUACUGGCCUAAAGGCUUGGGGCCUUCAGUGCUAAACAAGAACAGGCUAAACACAUAUUCCUUUAGCACAGGGGUAGGCAACCUAUGGCACGUGUGCCAAAGGUGGCACACAAGCUGAUUUUCAGUGGCACUCACACUGCCCAGGUCUUGGCCAGAGGUCCUGGGGGCUCUGCAUUUUAAUUUAAUUUUAAAUGAAGCUUCCUAAACAUUUUAAAAACCUUAUUUACUUUACAUACAACAAUAGUUUAGUUAUAUAUUAUAGACUUAUACAAAGAGACCGUCUAAAAACGUUAAAAUGUAUUACUGGCACGCGAAACCUGAAAUUAGAGUGAUUAAAUGAAGACUCGGCACACCACUUCUGAAAGGCUGCCGACCCCUGAGUUAGCAGAAUGUUAAUGGUUAUUUCAAAGCUUCUUAACUAGCCUUUCACCUCUCAAUUACUCAUGUAAAAUCAGUCUGUUAUCAGUAGUGACUGGCAUUUAUCACCUGAAAAGUCUUAGGGGGCUUAUUGUAUGUGAAGUGUGUUUUGUGGUUUCAGUCCUAUCCCCAAUUCAUAGAUGUCAGCACCACAACUCACACUUAACCAGCCCCCAUACUGGCAAUCUCAACAGAGAGCUCGAGGACAGGAGGUACAUGGAUUUGUACUUGUAUGGAAGAUUAAAUUACCAUAGUGUCUCCUUACUGUGAGUAGUUUCUCUUGGACGGGGUUUGGGCCCAUUGGCCAGACAAGGAAGGUAACAUUUCAGUCUCACUCUCGUUGAUCCAAAAUCUUUCACCAGCACAACAUUUGUUCUUUUGUUAGUGCAUGUUUUCUGCUACUAUUGGAGUUGGGCUCGUGGCCUGUGCAGGCAUUUCUUCACAGGGCUGGGGAAAGGAGACGAGACUUGCUUAGCAAAAAUCAUCUCAGGACAGAAGUCUAGAAACAAUGGGAUUUCUAGACAAUGAUAAAGAUGGAAAAAGAAGAAACCAAUGAGCAUCCCCUUCUGAUUUGCAGUAAGCCCAGGCCCACGCAGCAAAGGUCACCGCUGGACGUCAAACACCACGAAGCUGAAGGACGUUCAGCUCUGGGUACUUGAUUUGGACUAGCGUAGUUAUAAGUCAGCCUGGAAGUAGAACAUUUUUCUGUAUAAAGAGAAGAUAAACAGUGAGACUGAGCUGUCCUCUUGCCUCUACAGUGACUUCUCUCAACCAGCUUUGACAGGUUUUUUUCAUAGGUUCCAAGGCCAGAAGGGACCAUUGUGGUCAUCCAGUGACUGGGUCGAGAGGUGAACUUCUUGCUACUACCCAUGCUGCACUUCUUCUGUGGAUAGGAGUCAUCUGUAUCCAAGCCUGUCAAUACAGCACAUUUUGCAGCCAGUACAUUCACUUAACAAUGGUAUUCCUGUAGUAAUUGUCCUUUUGGUCAUGUUGUAAUAUCCUUAAUUGAAUGAGACAGAUGAUGUCAGUUGCGGUAUAAAUCCAUGUUGGAAGAGAACUGAGUGAGGGGCCUCUGCAUUCUUGGCUCAGCUUUUGGCAGACAUAUUGUUUGCAGAACACAAUUUCUUUAAUGUUCAAAUGGUGUUCUCUUAAUGCUCUUUGCCUUCAGUACAUUGGAUGUAAUUUACAAGCUGUCAAACUGCAAAGCCUGUUUUUGACUCUUACUAUAAUAUUACUGGACUAUUAAUGCCUGUUAGCCCUUGAAAUCUAAUAAAACUCAUUUUCAAUUCA